rnacentral:rRNA from 1 species
UACGUAGGGUGCAAGCGUUGUCCGGAAUUAUUGGGCGUAAAGAGCUCGUAGGCGGUCUGUCGCGUCGGCUGUGAAAACCCGAGGCUCAACCUCGGGCCUGCAGUCGAUACGGGCAAACUAGAGUACUGCAGGGGAGGCUGGAAUUCCUGGUGUAGCGGUGAAAUGCGUAGAGAUCCGGAGGAACCCCAGAGGCGAAGGCGGCGCCCUGGCUCGACACUGACGCUCAGACACGACAGCAUGGGGAGCGAACGGG